AAGCGUCUGGUUGCUUAAAGCCAGGGGCGGUAGCGUG
rfam:Pantoea gaviniae strain LMG 25382 Contig0022_, whole genome shotgun sequence.